UUGCGCCCAACGUGGGGCUCGAGACAUGGGGUCUUCACCUGGUGGACGCUGCUCGGAAGAUGAGCUGAUCGACCCCAGGACUUCUGCCCAGUUGGCAAGUUUGGCUCUGCGUACAGUCCGCUCAGACUGACCCAUCUGAGAAAGCAACCUGUGAGGUGAGUGAGCAGUGCAAAAUAUGGGACAACAAUUAAGUAAACAUCAGUUGUUUGUUGAAGGUUUAAAAUCUUCCUUAAGGAUGCGGUGAGUUCGGGUUACAAAAAAAGAUCUGAUUAAGUUUUUUAAAUUUGUAGAAGAGACUUGUCCUU
rfam:Fukomys damarensis contig143851, whole genome shotgun sequence.